rnacentral:lncRNA from 1 species
CACACGACGUGAACUGGGGCGGUGGCAGCACGCCAGGCCUCUGACGUCCCAGGGCUCAAGCGCGGAGGACAUGUGGAACUCCACUCCAAAAGCGGCGGCUUGCGGCGGAGCUCUCUCUAGUGAGGCGGCCAGCUGGCGUUCGUGGCACACUUGCUGUCGGCUCCGCUCAUCUGUUGGGAAUGCGUCCUGUGGGCCUAGUCCUCCGCUGGAAGAAACGCGCUGUUCUCCCCAACCACCGUUUAUCAUUCUUAUUCACCGUCUCCGGAAUGUCCAUUCAGUUUCCGCUCCUGAGAGACUUAGUGACUGAGGCCAGGCAAAGAUUUCACCUUGGGGAGGGGGAACGUUAAACCUUUCCUCCAGCAGCUUUCGUGUUUUAAAUUGUAUUCAUCCGCCAUGGAAAGACAUCAGAAGCCCAGGAUCUAAGAGACAGACUGAAAUGAAGAAAGUAGAUAAUAUUGUGAGAAUAAUGAACAAGCUGGUCACUGAACAGCAGAACCGUAAUGGAGUCCCAGUUAAAGGGUUUUAACUUUAUUUCGUCACUUUUUGCAAGCAUGAUACAAAGAAAACAAACACCUAACUACGCUACGGUUUAUAGUUAAAAGGAAGGUGGAAGAUCCUGAGUCAUUACAGCAAUCACAAAACAUGAUGGAUUUCUUCAUUUAAAAACACAAAAGAGGUCUUGGCAUAGUUUUCAAGGGCAAAGCAUGACAAGACUCUCCAGUGCUUUCUUUCAUCCCCCUCUGUGUGCCUUUUUCUGCCUGACUCACAGCCUGGCUCAAUCCUAAUCUUUCUACUGCAAAGAUGCAGCAUUUAAAGCAAUUUUUCCUGUGCAGUAUUUGUAGAAUGACAGAUCCUGCCAGAAGCUCUUGGAAACAUUUUGGAACUAUCUUGCUUUUCUGUAUGUUAUGAUC